rnacentral:rRNA from 1 species
UUAAAUGACGCUCGACUUCCAACAUAACCAAAGCACUAACAUCUAGCGCAGAUUAAAACUUAAAAAGUAUGGCGGUGGGGCCAACUUUCAGGGGAACUUGCCAGGUAAUAGACAACCCCCAAGAUUAGCUUACGAGCCUUCACCUACGACAGUUAUCUAGUUUAAGGUAGUAUGUAUACCGCCGUCUUCAGGCCCUUUAUAAAAAAGGAAUGCCGAAGCUGAGCACUCAACUCAAUAAGACAGGUCAUGGUGCAGCUUAUAGGCCCGCCUCUCGGUGAGUUACAUUAACAUCUCAAUCACUAUUUUUCGGAGCGGCUAAAGGACAACAAGGCUAAAAAUUAUUUCGGCCCCAUAAACUUCGGCCGACGAAGAUGGACUUGAAAGUAAUUCUUAUCAAACAUACAGCAUGAAUCAUUUUUUUGGCCACAUGUACACACCGCCCGUCACCC